GAUGAACGCUAGCGGCAGGCCUAAUACAUGCAAGACGAACGGCAAGAAUUGUAGCAAUACGGUUCUUAGAGUGUCGCACGGGUGCGUAACACGUAUGCAACCUACCUUGUACAGGAGUAUAGCUCGGGGAAACUCGAAUUAACCCUCCAUAAUAUAAUCGGAUGGCAUCAUUUGAUUAUUAAAACUUCGGUGGUACAAGAUGGGCAUGCGUUUGAUUAGCUAGUUGGCGGGGUAAAGGCCCACCAAGGCGAUGAUCAAUAGGGGAACUGAGAGGUUGAUCCCCCACACUGGCACUGAGUUACGGGCCAGACUCCUACGGGAGGCAGCAGUAGGGAAUAUUGGUCAAUGGAUGGAAGUCUGAACCAGCCAUGCCGCGUGCAGGAAGAAGGCCUUCUGGGUUGUAAACUGCUUUUGCCAGGGGAUAAAAAUUCUUUGCGAAGAAAAUUGAAGGUACCUGGUGAAUAAGCACCGGCUAACUACGUGCCAGCAGCCGCCGUAA
rnacentral:rRNA from 1 species